GACGAACGCUGGCGGCGUGCUUAACACAUGCAAGUCGAACGGAAAGGCCUGCUUUCCCUUGUGGAUUGCGGGUACUCGAGUGGCGAACGGGUGAGUAACACGUGAGUGAUCUGCCCCCAACUUGGGUAUAAGCCUGGGAAACUGGGUCUAAUUCCCGAUAGGACUGCAGGGUGGUGCCUGUGGUGGAAAACGAUUUUCUAGUGGUUGGGGAUGAGCUCGCGGCCUAUCAGCUUGUUGGUGGGGUAAUGGCCUACCAAGGCGGCGACGGGUAGCCGGCCUGGGAGGGUGGACGGCCACAUUGGGACUGAGAUACGGCCCAGACUCCUACGGGAGGCAGCAGUGGGGAAUAUUGCACAAUGGGCGGAAGCCUGAUGCAGCGACGCCGCGUGGGGGAUGACGGCCUUCGGGUUGUAAACUCCUUUCGACCGCGAGGUAGCCACCUGGUUGGAAGGGUGGUGACGGUAGUGGUAGAAGAAGCACCGGCUAACUACGUG
rnacentral:rRNA from 1 species